CUUGGGCACUGUCGAUGGAGCUCCUGAACAACUGGCCACGUGAGGGCGCUGUGGAUCCACUGAGUGAGCCGCUGAUAGCAUCCCGGAGAGAGAGAGGGUUAAGGGAGAGACAGUCUUGGCUUGGUCCCUGCAUCAGGGAGAUAAUUUUUUGAAUCAAAGUAAGUCCUGGUAUAUGAAGUGUUGAUCAUAGUCUUCUCACAAGAACUGAUGUGCACUUGUGUUUGCCACAGCAGGGAACCAAGAACUUCCCUUCCAUGGAGUAAGGCCUCUCUUGGAGCCUACAUUUGGUGGAGAGUGUGAUGGGGCUCCAGUGGGGUGGCCUGGAUAAUCAGAGCCAGGUGUAGUGAAAGGAGCACCUGCUCUGAGGACAGUAGAGAAGGUGUGGAGGUUGGACCCUGGCCAGACUAGCACAGCACAGCCAACUCUCCCUGCUCAAGAGGCAGGCAGACAGAGAUGGGAAGACCUGGAUCAGCUGAGCCUGUCCAUGGGAUGCACAGUGCCUACAGGAGCCCACAAGGACAGUGACAUCAGAAAUGACAUCACAAGAAAGCCCUCCAAAGGGAGAAAAGGGAGGAGCAAAACAUCUGUUCUCUUCCCCAAAGGCCAGAGCCUUGAGUAGGGAGAUGCUCUGUCUUGUGCUGCCUGAGUCAGCCAGGGGCACCCAGCUCCUCUGCUGUGUGGCCCUCCGUCUCCUGGAAGCUGGAAUCAGGCAUCGAGAAGUGCAGUCCCAGAAAUAGGGAAGCCUCACACUGAGAUAUGACCUACAGAUGGAACAGCAGUGUGC
rnacentral:lncRNA from 1 species